rnacentral:rRNA from 1 species
GAGUUUGUUCCUGGCUCAGAAUCAACGCUGGCGGCGCGCUUAACACAUGCAAGUCGAACGAGAAAGCAGGGGCAACCCUGUGAGUACAGUGGCGUCCGGGUGAGUAACACGUGGGUAAUCUACCUCAGAGUGGGGAAUAACGCUGGGAAACCGGCGCUAAUACCGCAUAAGCCUGGUUUUCAUAAAGGGAGCCAAGGAAAGCAGCAAUGCGCUGUGAGAGGAGCCCGCGGCCGAUUAGCCAGUUGGUAGGGUAAAGGCCUACCAAAGCGAAGAUCGGUAGCCGGCCUGAGAGGGCACACGGCCACACUGGCACUGAAACACGGGCCAGACUCCUACGGGAGGCAGCAGUGGGGAAUCUUGCACAAUGGGGGAAACCCUGAUGCAGCGACGCCGCGUGAGCGAUGAAGCCCUUCGGGGUGUAAAGCUCUUUCGGCAGGGACGAUAAUGACGGUACCUGCAGAAGCAGCUGCGGCUAACUACGUGCCAGCAGCCGCGGUAAUACGUAGGCAGCGAGCGUUGUUCGGGAGUUACUGGGCGUAAAGGGUGUGUAGGCGGUUCUCUAAGUUUGGUGUGAAAUCUCCCGGCUCAACCGGGAGGGUG